ACGGGAGGCAGCAGUGGGGAAUAUUGCACAAUGGGGGAAACCCUGAUGCAGCGACGCCGGGUGAAGGAAGAAGUAUCUCGGUAUGUAAACUUCUAUCAGCAGGGAAGAUAAUGACGGUACCUGACUAAGAAGCCCCGGCUAACGACGUGCCAGCAGCCGCGGUAAUACGUAGGGGGCAAGCGUUAUCCGGAUUUACUGGGUGUAAAGGGAGCGUAGACGGAGAAGCAAGUCUGAUGUGAAAGGCAUGGGCUCAACCUGUGGACUGCAUUGGAAACUGUUUUUCUUGAGUGCUGGAGGGGUAAGCGGAAUUCCUAGUGUAGCGGUGAAAUGCGUAGAUAUUAGGAGGAACACCAGUGGCGAAGGCGGCUUACUGGACGGUAACUGACGUUGAGGCUCGAAAGCGUGGGGAGCAAACAGGAUUAGAUACCCUGGUA
rnacentral:rRNA from 1 species